GAUGAACGCUAGCUACAGGCUUAACACAUGCAAGUCGAGGGGCAGCGGGAUUGAAGCUUGCUUCAAUUGCCGGCGACCGGCGCACGGGUGAGUAACGCGUAUCCAACCUUCCGUACACUCAGGGAUAGCCUUUCGAAAGAAAGAUUAAUACCUGAUGGUAUGAUGAGAUCGCAUGGUAUCAUCAUUAAAGAUUUAUCGGUGUACGAUGGGGAUGCGUUCCAUUAGGUAGUAGGCGGGGUAACGGCCCACCUAGCCUACGAUGGAUAGGGGUUCUGAGAGGAAGGUCCCCCACAUUGGAACUGAGACACGGUCCAAACUCCUACGGGAGGCAGCAGUGAGGAAUAUUGGUCAAUGGACGAGAGUCUGAACCAGCCAAGUAGCGUGAAGGAUGAAGGUCCUACGGAUUGUAAACUUCUUUUAUAAGGGAAUAAACCCUCCCACGUGUGGGAGCUUGUAUGUACCUUAUGAAUAGGCAUCGGCUAACUCCGUGCCAGCAGCCG
rnacentral:rRNA from 1 species